UACGAAGGGGGCUAGCGUUGCUCGGAAUUAUUGGGCGUAAAGAGCGUGUAGGCGGUCUGGUAGGUCCGUUGUGAAAACUCGAGGCUCAACCUCGAGACGCCGAUGGAAACCAUCAGACUAGAGUCCGGAAGAGGAGAGUGGAAUUCCUGGUGUAGCGGUGAAAUGCGCAGAUAUCAGGAAGAACACCCGUGGCUAAGGCGGCUCUCUAGUACGGUACUGACGCUGAGACGCGAAAGCGUGGGGAGCGAACAGG
rnacentral:rRNA from 1 species